GGAGUAAUAGCUCAGAGGUAGAGCGCAUGCUUAGCAUGCAUGAGGUUCUGUGUUCAAUCCCCAGUACCUCCA
rnacentral:tRNA from 1 species